rnacentral:rRNA from 1 species
GCAUGCAAGUCGAGCGAUGCUUUUCAGUAGUUUACUACAGAAAAUGACUGAGCGGCGAACGGGUGAGUAACGCGUGAGCAACCUACCUUAGUUACUGGGAUAGCCCGAGGAAACUCGGAUUAAUACCGGAUAUUCUUAUUUAAUCACAUGAUUUUUUAAGGAAAGGUCAGCCGAACUAAGAUGGGCUCGCGUUCUAUCAGCUAGUUGGUAGGGUAAUGGCCUACCAAGGCUACGACGGAUAGCUGGUCUGAGAGGACGAUCAGCCACACUGGGACUGAGACACGGCCCAGACUCCUACGGGAGGCUGCAGCAGGGAAUAUUGCGCAAUGAGCGAAAGCUUGACGCAGCGACACCGCGUGUGGGAUGACGGAUCUAGGUUUGUAAACCACUUUCAGGAGGGAAGUAAAUGACGGUACCUCCACAAGAAGCCCCGGCCAACUACGUGCCAGCAGCCGCGGUAAUACGUAGGGGGCGAGCGUUGUCCGGAUUUAUUGGGCGUAAAGAGCUCGUAGGCGGUUCAACAAGUCGGUCGUGAAAGUUCAGGGCUCAACCCUGAAAUGUCGAUCGAUACUGUUGUGACUAGGAUACGGUAGAGGUGAGUGGAAUUCCGAGUGUAGCGGUGAAAUGCGUAGAUAUUCGGAGGAACACCAAUUGCGAAGGCAGCUCACUGGGCCGCUAUCGACGCUGAGGAGCGAAAGCUAGGGGAGCAAACAGGAUUAGAUACCCUGGUAGUCCUAGCUGUAAACGAUGGAUACUAGACGUAGGAAUUGGAUUAACGAUUUCUGUGUCGUAGCUAACGCGUUAAGUAUCCCGCCUGGGGGAGU